rnacentral:rRNA from 1 species
CCCUUAGAUGUUCUGGGCCGCACGCGCGCUACACUGAUGCAUUCAACGAGUCUAAAACCUGGUCUGAGAGGGCUGGGUAAUCUUUUGAAAGUGCAUCGUGAUUGGGAUAGAUGAUUGCAAUUCUUCAUCUUCAACGAGGAAUGCCUAGUAAACGCAAGUCAUCAGCUUGCAUUGAUUACGUCCCUGCCCUUUGUACACACCGCCCGUCGCUCCUACCGAUUGAACGAUCCGAUGAAAACUGUGGAUUGAGAGUCUGAGUGGGUUCGCCUACCUCAACUUUCGAGAAGAGGUUUAAAUCUUAUCGUUUAGAGGAAGGAGAAGUCGUAACA